AGGCCACCUUACUGACCUCCGCAAGGGAGGGUCCCCCCCAGCUGACCUGGCCCUGCUGGGGGAUCCCAUCCCCUAGGCAUGGGGUGGGGGGCAUUGAGAAGAGGGAGAGCCCUUUCCCUCCAUGGGGAACACAGUUGGCCAGGUCUUCCGGAAAAGCCCCUAAAUCCAAAUGCUAAACCAGUAGAGUCCAUGGAAAAGCCAUUCGAAGGACAGAGAGAGACAUGACCAAGGCGCACAUGUCCAUAAAGCAGAAAUGUCAUGAACUGCAUCUCCCGCAGCUGCAAGCCAGAAGCUGCCACGAGCCUUGGAGUCCAUGCGCUCGUGUUAAGCAGGAAGUGCCCCUGGAGUACAAGGAAGUGAAUCACACCCAUCAUGGCUGUAAUGACCUCGCUGUUUCCGAUGGAGCCUCUGACUGCUGUCUGCACUUCCUGCGGCUGAGGUCUAAGCUGAGUGUCAGGCACUACAUGCCAAUCAAGAGUCAUGAAAGAACCAGUUUGAUGAGCAGGAAACUGAUGAAUUUAAUGCCAGAAGAUCCCCCCUCAGUUCAACUCCUAAAGGGAAGCAGAUGCUGCGGUGGAAUGAAAGUUUUUUCUUUCUGAUUUCAAAUGAAGCCUUGCUUUCACUUAGUGCCUUCUAAUAUGUACAUUGAAACAAUUUUCUCAGAAAUGCUCAUGGAAUAAUAAUGAAUUUGUUGAUUGAUCUUUUUGAUCGCUAGAACAAUGCCAUCUCUAUAAAUGUUACUCAAAUCAAAACGUCCUACGGAUCCUUUAAAACAAUUCCUGCUCUAUAUCCCCAUAGCAAGAUCCAGUUCUCAGGGCAAUCUGUAGUGACUGAACUCAGAGAAGACAAAAGAACAGAUGGGAGUAUAGAAUUUGAAAUUAUGGAAAUG
rnacentral:lncRNA from 1 species